rnacentral:lncRNA from 1 species
UUCCAAUGAGGCGUAUUGAGUUUUCGAAUAGAAUCAUAAAAGUUUUUUUUGUUUUAGUUUACUCAAGAUAAUUGCCGUUACAUUGCAUCAUAAAAAGUGUUGGUUUCCAUCAGCAUUUAAAAGAAAUGGGAAAAACCAGGUUCGUAAUUAAAAAAAGAAUUCAGAAGAAGUUUUCUUUGAUUACAGUUUUGUUACUUUUCAUCUUGCUACAGUCGAAUUAUGUUGCAAAAAAUGGAAAACAUUAUUUGGAGAUAUUAUAGCUCGAUUUUUUCUCUCCUCGUUACUUAUAAAGAAAAAUAAAAAACAAUUGUAAUUGAAGUCAGAAAAAAAAAUAACAUAUAUUA